UUCCUUUGACACUGAGAAAAUAUGAGUUAUAAAAUAUACAAGAACCCACCCCAACAUCCAUCCUUACCAAGCCUGCUUACCUUUUAGGUAAUUAUUCUCCAAACAAACCAACCAAACUGAACGCUGGAGGAAGGUUUGUCUGUUUCCUCUGUAAUGACAAGAAUUCACGGUUAACAAUCGAGAUCAGCUGAUUUACUUACAGACGUGUUUACAGGUGAGGAAAGUCCAUCCAUCCAUCCGUCCAUCCAUCCAUCCAUCCAUCCAUCCAGCUGGAGUCUAUCUCAGCAGUUAGCAGUUGCUGAGCACAGCGUUAUCACAGCUACAAUCUGAUCCACAGUGUGGAUUUCCUGAACCUGAGCUCACACAGAAGGAGGACCUGAGAGGUGGAGAGACAACAUCAUAAACACUGUGCUGCUUCUUAACAAUAGUAAC